rnacentral:lncRNA from 1 species
AGGAUUACUUAUACCAAUACUUUAUUUUAAAAUCUCUGGAAAUGAGACCAUCUGAAAUCAGAUAAAUAUGGCUUCAGAUACCAGCUCUGGCACUACUAGUUGCAUGAUCAUCAAUAUGUUACUUCUCUGUGCCUUAGUUUCCACAUCUGAAAAUUGAGGGUAAGAGUCCCUCUCUAGAUUUGUGAAUGGGAUGAACACAGGAUUUUAAGUACGGUUAGCCAGCAUCCAAGAUGGCCUCAAUGAUCUCUGCCUCUGGUAUUUAUGCCCUUGAGUAAUCCCAUUCCACAUGUCUCGGGUUGGUCUGUGUGUCUUAUAGAAUAUGGCUUGAAGUGAGGUUAUGUGGCUUCUGAAGCUAUCACAAUGUCAUAAAGGACACUGUGACUUCUGUCUUGCUCCAUUUCUGGGGUCACUUGCACUAGAGGAAGUCAGCUACUAAAUUACAAAGAAAUUCCAGCAACCACAAGGAGAGGUCCACAAAGUGAGAGAUUGAACCCUCGAGCUAACAAGCAUGUGAGUGAGACAUGUUGGAAGUGGAUUCUCCAGCUCCAGUCAAGCCUUCAGAUGAAUGCAGCUCCAGCCAACAUCUCACUGCAGCUUUAUGAGAGCCUCUGAGCUGGAGCCACUAGGCCAAGCUGUUCCCAAAUUCCUGACUCUCAGAAACUUGUGCAUAGGAAGAAUCUGGGGACCUUGUGGAAAGUGCAGCUCCCAGACACCUGCCUCAACUGACUCUGUGGAUGUGGAGCGGGCCCUGCCACUCCCCAUUUUUAACCUACUGGGGAGAGAACGGGAGGCAAAACUACAAACCUGAAAAUAAAGUGGCUAAGUGGCUUCUCAAACUCUUUCCAAGUCUCUAAACACCGCUGAGUCUGGAUUGUCACUGUGCUCUACAGAGGAAACGAAGACCAAGAAUUAAGCAGCUCGAUUUUCCAGUGCAGACUGUUUGACCUUUGUGACUAGUAAACCACUCCUUUUAUUAAGGCCAAAUCUGCAAAAUCUGUCUUAAAGAAAAUGGUCAGUCUUUCCUUUCUUCUAAACAUCUCUGAUUUUUUCAUCUUGUUUCCUGACUAUUCACAGACAGCAACAAUAACAGAUUCUGGAAAGAAGGAUUUGUAAUGAGGAAAUCAAGGCAGUGAGAUAAAGCAACUUGCCUGAGGUCACCCAGUUGGCAAGCUGGGGCACAGAUUUUCAGAGGUUUCUGGGAUUCCAAACCCUGUGCUCUCGGGCAUUUGUCUGAGAAAACUCUCAGGUAACACACUCUUCCCCUUCCAGUAUGUGUAUAUA